CCCGGGUAGCCCGUGGUAACCAGGAGUCUGCGGAAGUGGAGACCGGUGGGCAGGCGGCUAAGACAGGGGACUGAAAGUUGUGGAACCACAAUUUGUGACACCAGGUGUUUUUUUGGUAAGCAGCCAUUUAUGAUUCCGGAAGAUUAAGGCAGAUAGGAAGCCCCUUCUGAGAUUGUAACAAAGCUCUCGAACAACAACCGACACCAUGGACAUAAAGCUGGACCCUUCCCGGGAUGACCUGCCUCUCAUGGCCAACACCAGCCACAUACUUGUGAAGCACUAUGUACUGGAUUUAGAUGUGGAUUUCGAAAGUCAAAUCAUUGAGGGCACCAUAGUGCUUUUCUUUGAGUCUGGGGACAGAUUCGAGAAACAGAGUGGUUCCACCAAGGACACCUGCCGAUCAGAGUCAAACGAAGCCUGCAGUUUUAGGAUGCCUGCACCCUGCCAUAGUCCUGUGACAGAUACAAGGACCUUCUCAUCUAAAACAGGAUAUAAUGAUUUUGCAAUCUGUGGUAAAGGUGAAAAAGAUACUUCUGGUAAAGAUGGUAACCAUGACAACCAGGAACAGGCUUCUGGGAUUUCUAGCUCAAAGUACCGCUGUGACACAGGGAAUCAUGGGAGUGAGGAUUUUUUGCUAGUGUUGGACUGCUGUGAUUUAUCCGUGUUGAAGGUAGAGGAGGUGGAUGUUGCUGCUGUGCCAGGUAUUGACAAAUUUACAAGGUCUCCCAAGCUCACAGUUGUUUCCGAGGAGCUCAGGAAUCAGAUUGUACAUGAACUUGUCACUCUGCCUGCAGGGCGCUGGCGGGAGCAGUUAGACUAUUAUGCUGGCUGCAGCCAGGCUCCUGGCUGUGGGGAGCUCCUGUUUGACACUGACACUUGGAGCUUACAGAUCAGGAAGACAGGGGCUCAGACAGCUACUGACUUUCCUCAUGCCAUAAGGAUAUGGUACAGCACCAAACCCCAGGGGCGAUCCGUUACAUGGACCUCAGACCAGAGCGGCAGGCCAUGUGUUUAUACUAUGGGAUCUCCCAUAAACAACAGGGCCCUUUUUCCAUGCCAGGAGCCACCCGUUGCCAUGUCAACAUGGCAGGCUACAGUUCGAGCAGCUGCAUCUUUUGUUGUUUUAAUGAGUGGGGAAAAUUCUGCCAAGCCAACACAGCUUCGGGAAGGGUGCGCAAGCUGGCAUUACUAUGUAACCAUGCCGAUGCCAGCCUCCACCUUCACGAUUGCAGUGGGCUCCUGGACAGAAAUGAAGCCAGAGCCCUGCUUGUUCAAGGAUCUGGCAGCAGAGAGAGCCCUCUCACCUUCCGAGGCUGACUUCAGGUAUGUUGGCAUUUGUGGUCACACGGAAUACCCCUGCCGCUUCCAGAAUCCUUCUGCUACCACCCAGGAAAUUAUUCCUCAUCGGGUCUUUGCCCCAGUGUGCCUCCAGGGUGCUUGUCAAGAGACCCUUCUGCAGCUGGUCCCCCCGUGCCUCUCAGCAGCACACUCCAUCCUGGGAACACACCCAUUCGCCAGGCUGGACAUCCUCAUCGUUCCUGCCAACUUCCCGAGUCUGGGGAUGGCCAGCCCACACAUCAUCUUCCUCUCUCAGAGCGUCUUGACAGGAGCGAGCCAUCUCUGUGGGACCCGGCUCUGCCAUGAAAUCGCUCACGCCUGGUUUGGCCUAGCCAUCGGGGCCCGGGACUGGACGGAGGAGUGGCUGAGUGAAGGGUUUGCCACUCACUUGGAAGACGUGUUCUGGGCUGAAGCGCAGCAGCUGGCCCCCCACGAGGCCCAGGAGCAGCAGGAGCUGAAGGCUUGUCUGCGCUGGUGUCGCCUCCAGGACGAGGUGCGGAACUCCCCGGAGGAGAUGCAGGUGUUGAGACCCAAUAAAGAGAAAACUGGCCAUGUGAGUGACUCAGGAUCAUCUGUCAUCAAACAUGGGCUCAAUCCCGAGAAGGUCUUCAUGCAGGUUCAUUAUUUAAAGGGCUAUUUCCUUCUCCGGUUCCUUGCCCAAAGACUUGGAGAUGAUACCUAUUUUGCAUUUUUAAGAAAAUUUGUGCACACAUUUCAUGGGCAGUUGAUUCUUUCCCAGGAUUUCCUUCAAAUGCUGUUGGAGAAUAUCCCAGAAGAAAAAAGGCUCGAGUUGUCUGUGGAAAACAUCUUCCGAGACUGGCUUGAGAGUUCUGGAAUACCACAGCCGCUGCAGAGGGAGCGCCAGGCCGGGGCUGAGUGCGGGCUCGCGCGGCAAGUGAGCGCCGAGGUCGAGAAAUGGAUUCGAGUGAACCGGAGACCCCGAAAACGGAAACGAAGGGAGGCUGAAGAAGUGUUUGAAAAGCUCCUUCCAGAUCAGCUUGUUUUGCUUCUGGAGCAUCUCUUGGAGCAGAAGACUCUGAACCCCCGAACUCUGCAAAGCCUCGAGAGGACAUACCACCUCCCCCAACAGGAUGCAGAGGUUCGCCAUCGAUGGUGUGAACUCAUUGUUAAGCACAAAUACACAAAAGCCUACAAAGACGUGGAGAGAUUCCUCCAGGAGGAUCAGGCCAUGGGUGUGUACCUCUACGGGGAGCUGAUGCUGAGCGAAGACUCCAGGCAGCAGCAGGUCGCCCACCGGUGCUUUGAGCUGACCAAGGAGCAGAUGGAGAGAUCCUCAGCCGAGGUGGUGGCCGAGAUGUUAUUCUGAAGAGUUCGGAGAACAGACGCAUCUUGUAGCUCUUCUCCGGAAACAGAAGAAGCAACAGCUGUGGAAGACGCUCGGCGGCCCGCUCCUUACGCCCAGCCGACGACCUCUCUGCCGAGGUGCAGAGCUUAGCUGAUUGGUGAACAGUGACUGGUUUCCGCUUUGUUCACAGUGGCUAAGUUCUGCACCUGAAGAGAAGCCCCCGCAGGACGGCACCGAGCUCCCAGCUGAGGCACUGCUUCCGGGCUGUCGAUUGGACCCGCCCUCCGGUGCCUACUGAGCUGAUAUCAGUUCUCAUUUUACACACUGGCUCAGUUCAGCAGGAACAGGAGUCGAGCCCUCGAGCAAAAAGCCUUCCUGUUUGCAAGUGCCCAGAGGCUCCGGAGCUGGGACUGCGCCCACGUGAGGACCACGCGUCGGUGGCGGUGCCCAUCUGUAUGUGGCCCUGGGGUGUGGCUGUCCAUAGAGCCCUUGUGCCCUGGCGCCUGGAGGGCGUGAGCUUCCAUCCUAGAGGCGGACCGCAGGUAGCGCUGCGUGGGGCACCUUGAGACUGUGGGAGCAGGUGCAGUGAAGGGGGCCGGAGCCGUGUGGGGCAAGGAAGGCCGGGCUGCGGCCCCCGGCUCUCACGGCCGUGUGCGAGCGACGCAGCUGUGAACCCCACUGGCGGGGUCGUGAGGUGCAGCCGGUCUCCUCCCGUCCUCUGCUCAGGUCCUCUCUCCGAAGCCGGAGCGGAGGCGAGCAGAGGUACAGGUUAUAAGCAUUCCUCUGUUACCAGGCAGUAAAUUUUACUGCUCUUUCCUUUUCAGGGAAGGUCACAGCGAGAUUCUUUCUUAUGCAUCUACACUUAGCCCUGGACAUCGCAGGAAGGGUAACGGGGCUGCUAAAGCCAGCAGCCGGCAGCAUCCACGCCUUGGUGCUUCUCUUUCCCGAGGCUGCUCUCCCUGGAGCUCAUGGACCGCGUGGUGCCUUUGUCCCCUGCCCUGAACUUGCCACCUCGAGAUAUUCAGUCUGCGUUGGAUCUCUUCUGUGAGGCGAAGGCGCUUCUUUCACACAAAUGAUGAAAGCUGCCUGAGAUGCAUUGGAAAAGCUGCUGAACAUUUUGCAUUGAUCCCCUCAGCAUAUGGCUGCACUGGAGAUUUCUAGAAUUCCAGGAAGUCAGCUUCUGUAUCCUGGGACCAGUGGAAUUCUUCUCUAGAUCAUUUCAGAAAGAUUCUGCAGGAUUAUUUUGAUUGUUGGGUCUGUUGUUCAAAUUUGUCCAAACGUUAAUACCCUUGGUAAAAAGGCAGGGUAAGAAUCCAAGACGUAUUCACAAUAAAACAGUGGAUUACUAUUUUUG